rnacentral:rRNA from 1 species
GAUGAACGCUGGCGGCGUGCCUAAUACAUGCAAGUCGAACGCAUAGCGAAAGGUGCUUGCACCUUUCAAGUGAGUGGCGAACGGGUGAGUAACACGUGGACAACCUGCCUCAAGGCUGGGGAUAACAUUUGGAAACAGAUGCUAAUACCGAAUAAAACUUAGUGUCGCAUGACACAAAGUUAAAAGGCGCUUCGGCGUCACCUAGAGAUGGAUCCGCGGUGCAUUAGUUAGUUGGUGGGGUAAAGGCCUACCAAGACAAUGAUGCAUAGCCGAGUUGAGAGACUGAUCAGCCACAUUGGGACUGAGACACGGCCCAAACUCCUACGGGAGGCUGCAGUAGGGAAUCUUCCACAAUGGGCGAAAGCCUGAUGGAGCAACGCCGCGUGUGUGAUGAAGGCUUUCGGGUCGUAAAGCACUGUUGUAUGGGAAGAACAGCUAGAAUAGGAAAUGAUUUUAGUUUGACGGUACCAUACCAGAAAGGGACGGCCAAAUACGUG